rnacentral:snRNA from 1 species
GGAAGAUUAGCAUGGACCCUGCUCAAGGAUGAUACUUAAAUUUAAGAAAUGCUCUACGUAUUU